UGGGUGUGAGGGGCCUUUCCUGCCCUAUUCAU
rnacentral:piRNA from 1 species